CACACACACACACACAAACAAAAAAACCCGACCCCUCGAAAGACUGAUCUUUCUCUUUUCCCCCGAUAGUUGCACUCUCGCAGCACACACACACAUUGGUGGAGAUGGUGUGUUGAGCAGAGCCUGGUCACAGACUUCUGCACUGACAGCCAACUUGAAGUUGAAGUCGCUGAAGGUAUUACAGAGGUAAGAAUUGAUUGUGGGAAGGAGUUUUACUUGGCACCGUUCAUCCAGGAAAGGCUGGCAGAAUACAGCUACAAUUGGCAGAGGCAGCCCUCCAUUCAGACACCUUCUACAAGGGUAACAAUGUGGUGUUAAAAUAAUAAAUGUGAACCCGUACGGGGAUAGCGGUCGAUGCCGGCGACCAGAGCGUGGCUGUAGGGACGGUCAGCGGCGGUCAGUUAAUUUUUCUUGCAUCUGAACUGCGUAAACACAGAGGUCAUCCCACAUAUGGUCCACCCGUUAAAGGGGGACAGAGGCCCUCAGGACCAAGAAGAACUGGACCUUGUAACGCUGGAGUGUAUGUUAUAAGUGAU